UGAGAGGCCACAUAGGAGAAAUUCAAUCCAAGACCCCUAUAUCAUCUACCCAUUCCAAGAUAUCAAUUAAUUCCUUGACCAAACUGCCUACCAAAUUUUCAAGGAAAAUCCCAAGCCCUCUCUGAAGCCCCACGGAGUCCAUUAGUUGAUUGAAUAGACCAAUUCAGCAGAUCCUACCUUUCUGCAGUGCCUGGGGUAGCUGCACCAGCAAGUCAAAAAGCAAUCAGAAAGUGAUCUGACCUUGACAAGGACCAACAGUAAUGCUCUUUACUGCCAGAUCUGUUUCAACUGCCCGGAGACAAAUAGGUGUGACCACUGGUUAACAUGGUUCUCCUUCUACAAAGACUCAAGUAAAAUAUCUUUAAUAUUAAUUUUGGGAAAAAUACAGAGCCUUGGAAACUGCCAGAGGAAUUUCCCAUCUCAUUUUCAGUGAAUUCAUUCAACAGGGAAGAAGAGGUCUCAUCCUAGUGCAUAGAGCAACAGCAAGAAGCAAGAUUUCCUCUUUCCUUGAAAUGAAAACUGCAUCAGUUUUUCUUGCAUUCCAUCCCCUGCUCAUACCACAUACACAGAAGGUCUUCUUCAUGACUGCGUGAGCAUGAUUUCCUCUAGAAAACUACACCAGCAUAAAUUGACUGUGCUUCCAUAUCAAGAUCAAUGAAGUAGUGGUGGGUUCUAAUCAGUUUUACCACCGGUUCGCAUCGCGCACGAGCGCAAUCACCAAAUAAUGAUGAUAGUAAUUUAUUAAAUCAACAUGACACCUG